GCAGCAUGGUCUUAGCUUGCUAAGGCCGAUGGCGACCGGCGCACGGGUGAGUAACACGUAUCCAACCUGCCGUCUACUCUUGGACAGCCUUCUGAAAGGAAGAUUAAUACAAGAUGGCAUCAUGAGUCCGCAUGUUCACAUGAUUAAAGGUAUUCCGGUAGACGAUGGGGAUGCGUUCCAUUAGAUAGUAGGCGGGGUAACGGCCCACCUAGUCUUCGAUGGAUAGGGGUUCUGAGAGGAAGGUCCCCCACAUUGGAACUGAGACACGGUCCAAACUCCUACGGGAGGCAGCAGUGAGGAAUAUUGGUCAAUGGGCGAGAGCCUGAACCAGCCAAGUAGCGUGAAGGAUGACUGCCCUAUGGGUUGUAAACUUCUUUUAUAAAGGAAUAAAGUCGGGUGUACCCGUUUGCAUGUACUUUAUGAAUAAGGAUCGGCUAACUCCGUGCCAGCAGCCGCGGUAAUACGGAGGAUCCGAGCGUUAUCCGGAUUUAUUGGGUUUAAAGGGAGCGUAGAUGGAUGUUUAAGUCAGUUGUGAAAGUUUGCGGCUCAACCGUAAAAUUGCAGUUGAUACUGGAUAUCUUGAGUGCAGUUGAGGCAGGCGGAAUUCGUGGUGUAGCGGUGAAAUGCUUAGAUAUCACGAAGAACUCCGAUUGCGAAGGCAGCCUGCUAAGCUGCAACUGACAUUGAGGCUCGAAAGUGUGGGUAUCAAACAGGAUUAGAUACCCUGGUAGUCCACACGGUAAACGAUGAAUACUCGCUGUUUGCGAUAUACAGCAAGCGGCCAAGCGAAAGCGUUAAGUAUUCCACCUGGGGAGUACGCCGGCAACGGUGAAACUCAAAGGAAUUGACGGGGGCCCGCACAAGCGGACGAACAUGUGGUUUAAUUCGAUGAGACGCGAGGAACCUUACCCGGGCUUAAAUUGCAGAUGAAUUACGGUGAAAGCCGUAAGCCGCAAGGCAUCUGUGAAGGUGCUGCAUGGUUGUCGUCAGCUCGUGCCGUGAGGUGUCGGCUUAAGUGCCAUAACGAGCGCAACCCUUGUUGUCAGUUACUAACAGGUUCCGCUGAGGACUCUGACAAGACUGCCAUCGUAAGAUGUGAGGAAGGUGGGGAUGACGUCAAAUCAGCACGGCCCUUACGUCCGGGGCUACACACGUGUUACAAUGGGGGGUACAGAGGGCCGCUACCACGCGAGUGGAUGCCAAUCCCCAAAACCUCUCUCAGUUCGGACUGGAGUCUGCAACCCGACUCCACGAAGCUGGAUUCGCUAGUAAUCGCGCAUCAGCCACGGCGCGGUGAAUACGUUCCCGGGCCUUGUACNCANCGCCCGUCAAGCCAUGGGAGCCGGGGGUACCUGAAGUGCGUAACCGCGAGGAG
rnacentral:rRNA from 2 species